rnacentral:rRNA from 1 species
AGGGAUGUCGAUGCUUACACAUGCAGUCGAUUCAAGUUACCUUCGGGUAAUGAGGAUGGCGGACGGGUGAGUAACGCGUAAGGAACUUGCCUCUUGGACUGGGACAACUGUUGGAAACGACAGCUAAUACCGGAUAUUAUGAGAUUCUCGCAUGAGAAACUUAUGAAAGCUAUAUGCGCCAAGAGAGAGCCUUGCGUUCCAUUAGCUAGUUGGUGGGGUAACGGCCCACCAAGGCGACGAUGGAUAGCCGGCCUGAGAGGGUGAACGGCCACAAGGGGACUGAGACACGGCCCUUACUCCUACGGGAGGCAGCAGUGGGGAAUAUUGGACAAUGGGCCACAAGCCUGAUCCAGCAAUUCUGUGUGCACGAUGAAGGUCUUCGGAUUGUAAAGUGCUUUCAGUUGGGAAGAAGAAAGUGACGGUACCAACAGAAGAAGCGACGGCUAAAUACGUGCCAGCAGCCGCGGUAAUACGUAUGUCGCAAGCGUUAUCCGGAUUUAUUGGGCGUAAAGCGCGUCUAGGCGGAAAAAUAAGUCUGAUGUUAAAAUGCGGGGCUCAACUCCGUAUUGCGUUGGAAACUGUUUUUCUAGAGUACUGGAGAGGUGGGCGGAACUACAAGUGUAGAGGUGAAAUUCGUAGAUAUUUGUAGGAAUGCCGAUGGAGAAGUCAGCUCACUGGACAGAUACUGACGCUGAAGCGCGAAAGCGUGGGGAGCAAACAGGAUUAGAUACCCUGGUAGUCCACGCCGUAAACGAUGAUCACUAGGUGUUGGGGGUCGAACCUCAGCGCCCAAGCUAACGCGAUAAGUGAUCCGCCUGGGGAGUACGCACGCAAGUGUGAAACUCAAAGGAAUUGACGGGGACCCGCACAAGCGGUGGAGCAUGUGGUUUAAUUCGACGCAACGCGGGAAACCUUACCAGCGUUUGACAUCCUAAGAAGUUUCCAGAGAUGGAUUCGUGCCGGCUUGCCGGAACUUAGUGACAGGUGGUGCAUGGCUGUCGUCAGCUCGUGUCCUGAAAUGUUUGGGUUAAGUCCCGCAACGAGCGCAACCCCCUAUUGUAUGUUGCUACCCAUUAAGUUGAGCACUCAUGCGAUACUGCCUGCGAUGAACAGGAGGAAAAGGGGGGGGAAGAACCUCCAAGUCAUCAUGGCCCCCUUAUAACCCUGGGGGUACACACCUGGCUUCAAUGGGGGCGCUACAAAAAAAUUGGCCACCCUCCCCCAGAAGGGAUCUGAACUCCUUAAAAACGGUUGUUAUGUUUUCGGAAUUGGUGCUCCCCACAACCCCAAGCCCAAGGAGAGGAUAGUUCG